UAGUUUGUAGCUCCAGGUUUGUCAAAGGGCAAAAAUUGGCUGAUGUAGGAGUGUUUUUGUUGAGUUGCAGUAUCUGACUGGUGAGCGAUCAUGCCAGCCUAAUCACCUUAACUGAUCUUUCAGGACAUUGCCUCAAGUUCUGACAUCUACAGUCAUUAGACUAACGAAAAUGAGUGUUUCAUUUUCCUGUUUAGAAAGCGUGCACAUGUGUAUGGGGCAUUACUGCUCUCAGGUUUCCUUGUCGACGCAGUGAAGCAAGAUUGUAGUACAUAUUAAAAGAACAAUCAACAGCCAGUGCAAAAGGCACUGUUGAAAAUACAUGUCUUGAGUCGUCACUGUGCAUUUGCACUAUACACUGAACAGGUGAACGUGCUGAGCUUAACUGACCCUGUCUAGUGUGAAUAUCAGAUGAAGGCUCUGAAAUGCAACUUACAAAUUAUUGCAGAUCCACAGUUGGCACUCGAUAUCAUCUACAGUUACAAUGUCUGACAUUGUCUGCAAAAGAUGCUGCCGUCUUUUGGUUUCUCUUUACUGCCCUGCAGAUGUUUUAACUUCCUAAAUAAGGGUUGUUCAGUUUUGGAUUGUUGUAUUGUUGACCGGGUCUACUUUCAAAGUUUUGUACUGGCACCACUGUUUGAGCAUGGAACAGUUCCCGACUUUAUACGGUUUGAUCUGAGUUAUGAACUGACUUGCUGUCAGCUUGCCACUCGAGAUUGUCAGCCCUUCCCUCCAAAUAGCAGCAUGGGGUUCAAGUCCACCACAUUGUGCAUCAAUCAAGCUCAAUCCGCAUUGAUGAUGUGAAAGUGCCGCAGAAGACUGAAAUGUACAAGAUGGGCGCUAUCCAACUGACACACAGAGGUCACUCCCGGCCAGUCCAGAUCCUUGACAAUUAAGCAUUUCUAACAACUUUGCUUUCAGUUCUGGACUCAUUUGCCCUCUGUUUCCCCUUCAAUCCGUUCUGUCUUUACUUGUUUGGGGGAAAGCAGUAAGGUUAUCUUCACUUUUACGUGCCAAAGUCAUAUAUAUACCCUGGUAUCUAAUUGGUUUCUUCUAAAACAUCAUGCUUCCUGCACGGUCCACAGCAAAGAGGGGUGUCAUAUGCUGUAGGCUGCAUAUUUGGUGGAUGUGGAGAUAAUCCCAUUGAAUGCUGACUGCAUUAGUUUGAUUUUCUUGGCCUACAGGUUGGUGGCAUUGCAAAAGCUUUCGAUUUCUGAUUAAUGAAGUUUGCUAAUUUGCGGUUAAGGGUGUCGUGUUAGGCAGGCCUGUCUGGUACGGUCGAGAUUAAUUGCCGUUGCUGUCAAGCCUUCCCAAUUAGGUGGGUUUGGUUGAUCCAGGGCCGUGUUUGGCUCAGGCAAAUCCAUGAUUGGAGGCUAUUAAUUGAUAUUAGGCCUUGAUUUGUGGGAAGGUGUAGGAGACUGACUCUAACGCUUGCUCCAAGGUCGAUCAAGGUCUUGAAGAAUUUGAGGUCGAAUGCGCCACAGCUAAAUUGCGUCAUUGUGGUGCUCAGGAAUGUUUGUUGAUCCAGAUCUCCUGCAUAUGAUCAUCGGUGUUACAUUCAUGACUGAAGUUGCUGGCGACAGACCAUCGGGUCUGCUGCAUCUUACACCAGUGACCAGACUAUCUCACCGGUUUUUCUCCGAGAAGAACGGAGUUAUAAAAUGGACGGUAACCCCGGCUGGUCUCAGGUGUUGAACCUCUUGGCUCAUAGCCGUCAAGAUCAAGCUGUGAGGUGCUUCACCAGGCACGCGUAUAUUCCAAAGACCCCCUCAAAAUGAAAACAGAGUAUAUUCCAAAGUCUUCCUCGGAAGCCUAGAUGCUGUCUGCUUCAUAGAUCAACUGUCUCGUCCUUGUGGGCUUGUGGCCUAGGUGCUGUCUCAGCAAUAGCCCCCGGGCUUGCGGUCCAUUCACGAAAGCAGUAGGCGCAACAGCUUUACUGUAAUUUCCAAAACCUCGGAAGCUUUUGCUGUAACUUCUAGCAUGAUUAUGUGUAGAAAAAAGAUCCAGGAAAAGGCAGACGAAGGCUGUCAUUGAAGUUUC